AAUAUUGUGCCGGAUUAACGGGUUACAUUGAUGUUGUAAAUUAUGGUAUCACCCAAUAUUU
rnacentral:tRNA from 1 species